UAAGCCUGUGAAGGUGUGUCGUGAGGCAUGCUGGAGGUAUCAGAAGUGCGAAUGCUGACAUAAGUAACGAUAAAGCGGGUGAAAAGCCCGCUCGCCGGAAGACCAAGGGUUCCUGUCCAACGUUAAUCGGGGCAGGGUGAGUCGACCCCUAAGGCGAGGCCGAAAGGCGUAGUCGAUGGGAAACGGGUUAAUAUUCCCGUACUUGGUGUUACUGCGAAGGGGGGACGGAGAAGGCUAUGUUGGCCGGGCGACGGUUGUCCCGGUUUAAGCGUGUAGGUGUGUGUUCCAGGUAAAUCCGGUUCACUUUAACACUGAGGCGUGACGACGAGGCACUACGGUGCUGAAGCAACAAAUGCCCUGCUUCCAGGAAAAGCCUCUAAGCAUCAGGUAACAUCAAAUCGUACCCCAAACCGACACAGGUGGUCAGGUAGAGAAUACCAAGGCGCUUGAGAGAACUCGGGUGAAGGAACUAGGCAAAAUGGUGCCGUAACUUCGGGAGAAGGCACGCUGACACGUAGGUGAAGUGAUUUACUCAUGGAGCUGAAGUCAGUCGAAGAUACCAGCUGGCUGCAACUGUUUAUUAAAAACACAGCACUGUGCAAACACGAAAGUGGACGUAUACGGUGUGACGCCUGCCCGGUGCCGGAAGGUUAAUUGAUGGGGUCAGCGCAAGCGAAGCUCCUGAUCGAAGCCCCGGUAAACGGCGGCCGUAACUAUAACGGUCCUAAGGUAGCGAAAUUCCUUGUCGGGUAAGUUCCGACCUGCACGAAUGGCGUAAUGAUGGCCAGGCUGUCUCCACCCGAGACUCAGUGAAAUUGAACUCGCUGUGAAGAUGCAGUGUACCCGCGGCAAGACGGAAAGACCCCGUGAACCUUUACUAUAGCUUGACACUGAACAUUGAGCCUUGAUGUGUAGGAUAGGUGGGAGGCUUUGAAGUGUGGACGCCAGUCUGCAUGGAGCCGACCUUGAAAUACCACCCUUUAAUGUUUGAUGUUCUAACGUGGACCCGUGAUCCGGGUUGCGGACAGUGUCUGGUGGGUAGUUUGACUGGGGCGGUCUCCUCCUAAAGAGUAACGGAGGAGCACGAAGGUUGGCUAAUCCUGGUCGGACAUCAGGAGGUUAGUGCAAUGGCAUAAGCCAGCUUGACUGCGAGCGUGACGGCGCGAGCAGGUGCGAAAGCAGGUCAUAGUGAUCCGGUGGUUCUGAAUGGAAGGGCCAUCGCUCAACGGAUAAAAGGUACUCCGGGGAUAACAGGCUGAUACCGCCCAAGAGUUCAUAUCGACGGCGGUGUUUGGCACCUCGAUGUCGGCUCAUCACAUCCUGGGGCUGAAGUAGGUCCCAAGGGUAUGGCUGUUCGCCAUUUAAAGUGGUACGCGAGCUGGGUUUAGAACGUCGUGAGACAGUUCGGUCCCUAUCUGCCGUGGGCGCUGGAGAACUGAGGGGGGCUGCUCCUAGUACGAGAGGACCGGAGUGGACGCAUCACUGGUGUUCGGGUUGUCAUGCCAAUGGCACUGCCCGGUAGCUAAAUGCGGAAGAGAUAAGUGCUGAAAGCAUCUAAGCACGAAACUUGCCCCGAGAUGAGUUCUCCCUGAGACUUAAAGUCUC
rnacentral:rRNA from 1 species